ACUCCUACGGGAGGCAGCAGUGGGGAAUAUUGCACAAUGGGGAAACCCUGAUGCAGCCAUGCCGCGUGUGUGAAGAAGGCCUUCGGUUGUAAAGCACUUUCAGUAGGGAGGAAGGUAGUGUAGUUAACACCUGCAUUAUUUGACGUUACCUACAGAAGAAGCACCGGCUAACUCCGUGCCAGCAGCCGCGGUAAUACGGAGGGGUGCGAGCGUUAAUCGGAAUUACUGGGCGUAAAGCGCAUGCAGGCGGCCUGUUAAGUCAGAUGUGAAAGCCCGGGGGCUUAACCUCGGAAAUUGCAUUUGAAACUGGCAGGCUAGAGUCUUGUAGAGGGGGUAGAAUUUCAGGUGUAGCGGUGAAAUGCGUAGAGAUCUGAAGGAAUACCAGUGGCGAAGGCGGCCCCCUGGACAAAGACUGACGCUCAGAUGCGAAAGCGUGGGGAGCGAAACAGGAUUAGAUACCCUGGUAGCACAGAG
rnacentral:rRNA from 1 species